rnacentral:tRNA from 1 species
GCGACACUAGCUCAGUUGAUAGAGCGCAACCUUGCCAAGGUUGAGGUCCCGAGUUCGACCCUCGUGUGUCGCUCCA